CAUUCACGGAGAGUUUGAUCCUGGCUCAGGACGAACGCUGGCGGCGUGCUUAACACAUGCAAGUCGAACGAUGAACCACCUUCGGGUGGGGAUUAGUGGCGAACGGGUGAGUAACACGUGGGCAAUCUGCCCUGCACUCUGGGACAAGCCCUGGAAACGGGGUCUAAUACCGGAUACUGACCUGCCGAGGCAUCUCGGCGGGUCGAAAGCUCCGGCGGUGCAGGAUGAGCCCGCGGCCUAUCAGCUUGUUGGUGAGGUAAUGGCUCACCAAGGCGACGACGGGUAGCCGGCCUGAGAGGGCGACCGGCCACACUGGGACUGAGACACGGCCCAGACUCCUACGGG
rnacentral:rRNA from 1 species